CCUACGGGAGGCAGCAGUGAGGAAUAUUGGUCAAUGGUCGGGAGACUGAACCAGCCAAGCCGCGUGAGGGAUGAAGGUACAGAGUAUCGUAAACCUCUUUUGUCAGGGAACAAAGGCGGGGACGUGUCCCCGGAUGAGUGUACCUGAAGAAAAAGCAUCGGCUACCUCCGUGCCAGCAGCCGCGGUAAUACGGGGGAUGAGAGCGUUAUCCGGAUUUAUGGGGUUUAACGGGUGCGCGGGCGGUCUGUUAAGUCAGCGGUCAAAGCCCGGGGCUCAACCGCGGCCCGCCGUUGAUACUGGCAGUCUCGAGUUGGAGAGAAGUAUGCGGAAUGCGCGGUGUAGCGGUGAAAUGCAUAGAUAUCGCGCAGAACUCCGAUUGCGAAGGCAGCAUGCCGGCUCCACACUGACGCUGAGGCACGAAAGCGUGGGUAUCGAACAGGAUUAGAUACCCUAGUAGUC
rnacentral:rRNA from 1 species